UCUACUGUGUCACAGGAGUAAGCCUCGCUCAGCCAGAACACAGACUGCCUUUCACGAUCCAACAGUGUUCCUAUUUUAAAUGAACCCAGGGUUCAUUUAAUACCUUGGCUGGAAGCAUGAACCUGAGGUAAAGAACAUUUGCUGUUCUCUCAAAGGAACAGGCUUCUUGUGGGCCAGUGGAUCACGCCACCAGACAAAAGAACUGUUUCUCUUACCAUUCUAUGGGCUGGAUUCACAAAAUAAAUAAAAAGAAGGUGGCAAACUGA